rnacentral:rRNA from 1 species
AACGAACGCUGGCGGCGCGUCUUAAGCAUGCAAGUCGAACAGCAAGAGAGGAGCUUGCUUCUCUCCUAGAGUGGCGGACUGGUGAGGAACACGUGGGUAAUCUACCCUUAAGAUGGGGAUAGCUGCUAGAAAUAGCAGGUAAUACCGAAUACACUCGGCAUAUCACAAGAGGUGUUGAGGAAAGGAAGCUACGGCUUCGCUUGAGGAUGAGCUUGCGUCCCAUUAGCUAGUUGGUGAGGUAAAGGCCCACCAAGGCGACGAUGGGUAUCCGGCCUGAGAGGGUGAACGGACACAUUGGGACUGAGAUACGGCCCAAACUCCUACGGGAGGCAGCAGCUAAGAAUAUUCCGCAAUGGACGGAAGUCUGACGGAGCGACGCCGCGUGGAUGAAGAAGGCUGAAAAGUUGUAAAAUCCUUUUGUUGAUGAAGAAUUAGGGUGAGAGGGAAUGCUCAUCUGAUGACGGUAAUCGACGAAUAAGCCCCGGCUAAUUACGUG